UACGUAGGGGGCAAGCGUUGUCCGGAAUCAUUGGGCGUAAAGAGCGUGUAGGCGGCCCGGUAAGUCCGCUGUGAAAGUCCAGGGCUCAACCCUGGAAUGCCGGUGGAAACUGUCGGGCUAGAGUCCGGAAGAGGCGAGUGGAAUUCCUGGUGUAGCGGUGAAAUGCGCAGAUAUCAGGAGGAACACCAAUGGCGAAGGCAGCUCGCUGGGACGGUACUGACGCUGAGACGCGAAAGCGUGGG
rnacentral:rRNA from 1 species